UGGUGGAGUGAUUUGUCUGGUUAAUUCCGAUAACGAACGAGACUCUGUCCUGCUAACUAGGUUGUGUUUUCUCGGGUUGGAGUUUCUGGUGUUCCUUCUCGGGGCGCCGGCCCAAUCCACUUGUGAACACAACACUCUUCUUAGAGGGACUGGCGGCUGUUAGCCGCACGAGAUAGAGCAAUAACA
rnacentral:rRNA from 1 species